CUUCACUCUCUAACAGGCAGCCACCUGCCUGGCAUGCUUUGGCCACCUGUCGGCCUGCCCAGCUGUGUAAAUUGCACUGCAAUCAGCAUGGCAAGGCAGCUUGAAGGAGGUACCGCUUGGUGCCUGCAGAUUACUUGUGUAACAUGUUUUCAAGUCAUUGACUUUUACAUUGCAAACAAAGUCUUUUUAUUUGACCUUUUAAAUGCUCUGUUGCAAAAUGUGCAGGAGUACAGUGACAGCACAUAUGUGGAAAUUGCUUUCAUGCUGAUUUUUGGGCACUUUGUAACGCCUGCCGGGUGUUGGACAAGUCGUACAGGUGCACAGAUCCCUGCCUUCUCACAGGAACACAGAGGAGUGAGUUACUCUGCCAGAGCACGCGAGACAGCCACAGCUGCACGAGGCACUGGCUCCCCGUCUGACAGCGUGGGAGAGGCUGUUCCCUGCUUCGCGGCACCAUGAAAGAGCAAAACCCAGCUCCUGUGGUGUUGGGACUGCAGGAGGAAGAUAUCUUAGAUAUCUGCCCAUGGCAGAGACCCGCUGCUCCUGACGCACAGGGCCUGGGGACUUCUGGAGUUCUGCAGAGGCCUGGCGGGUGGCAGCAGUCGCCUUGCUCGGGGGCACUCCGGUGUCCCGUGCCAUCCCCACAGCCAGGGGCCCUGGUCCCGUGCCAUCUCCUGGCCAGAGGCCCUGGCUGCAGCCCCAUGUCCCGUCCCAUUCCCACAGCCCCGGCUGCAGCCCCAUCAUCACCAGCGGCGUGCCGGCCAUUUCCUGCUUCACGUGGCUGUGCAGCAGCUGUGGCUGAGCAUUCCAACAGGGUGUUUCAAGUUAUUUUUGAAGAGCUACAUGACUACUGAGGGGCUUACGUGGCAGAAAUUAUGGAGUGAAUAAAUGAAUCACUGGUGGGUUUGAGUUUUAAAUU
rnacentral:lncRNA from 1 species